rnacentral:rRNA from 1 species
CCAGAAUCGUACGGGAGGCAGCAGUGGGGGAUAUUUCACCAAUGGUGACAACCUGAUCAAGUGACGGUUCCUGAGGGAAGAAAGAUUUUGGGUUUUAAACCCAUGUUUUGAGGGGAGAAGGAAGUGACGGUACCUUUGGAGGAAGCCCCGGCUAACUACGCCCAGCAGCCGCGGUAAUACGUAGGGGGCGAGCGUCGUCCGGAAUUAUUGGGCGUAAAGGGCGGGUAGGCGGUUACACAAGUCAGGUGAUAAAGGCCAGGGCUCAACCGGGAAAAGGCACUUGAUACUGUGUGUUAGAGUGCAGGAGAGGGGAGUGGAAUUCCUUGUGUAGCGGUGAAAUUCGUAGAUAUCAGGAAGAACACCAGUGGCGAAGGCGAUUAUCUGGGCCGCUCCUGACGCUGAGGCGCGAAAGCGUGGGGAGCAAACAGGAUUAGAUACCCUGGUAUUCCCAGCCGUAAACGAUGAACACUAGGUGUAGGGGGUAUCGACCCCCCCUGUGCCGGAGCUAACGC